rnacentral:rRNA from 1 species
GAUGAACGCUAGCGACAGGCUUAACACAUGCAAGUCGAGGGGCAGCGGUGGUGAAGGCUUGCCUUCACCAGCCGGCGACCGGCGCACGGGUGAGUAACACGUAUGCAACCUGCCUGCCACAGCCGGAUAAUCGGGAGAAAUCCCGUCUAAUACGGCAUAAUGCAUCGACGGGACAUCCUGUUGGUGCCAAAGGUUAAUUCCGGUGGCGGAUGGGCAUGCGUCGCAUUAGUUAGUUGGCGGUGUAACGGACCACCAAGACGACGAUGCGUAGGGGUUCUGAGAGGAAGGUCCCCCACACUGGUACUGAGACACGGACCAG